rnacentral:rRNA from 1 species
GACCCCAGGAUGGGCGGGAUGACCCGCUG